rnacentral:rRNA from 1 species
GAACCCUGACGGAGCAACGCCGCGUGCGGGAGGACGGCCUGUGGGUUGUAACCCGCUUUUCUCAGGGAAGAAGUUCUGACGGUACCUGAGGAAUCAGCAUCGGCUAACUCCGUGCCAGCAGCCGCGGUAAUACGGAGGAUGCAAGCGUUAUCCGGAAUUAUUGGGCGUAAAGCGUCCGUAGGCGGUGAGUUAAGUCUGCUGUCAAAGCCUGCAGCUCAACUGUGGAGUGGCAGUGGAAACUGAUUGACUAGAGUGCGAUAGGGGUAGAGGGAAUUCCCAGUGUAGCGGUGAAAUGCGUAGAUAUUGGGAAGAACACCAGUGGCGAAGGCGCUCUACUGGGUCGCAACUGACGCUGAGGGACGAAAGCUAGGGGAGCG